UACGUAGGGUGCGAGCGUUGUCCGGAAUUAUUGGGCGUAAAGGGCUCGUAGGCGGUUUGUCGCGUCGGGAGUGAAAACCUCGGGCUUAACUCGGGGCUUGCUUUCGAUACGGGCAGACUAGAGGUAUGCAGGGGAGAACGGAAUUCCUGGUGUAGCGGUGAAAUGCGCAGAUAUCAGGAGGAACACCGGUGGCGAAGGCGGUUCUCUGGGCCGAUACUGACGCUGAGACGCGAAAGCGUGGGGAGCAAACAGG
rnacentral:rRNA from 1 species